AUUGAACGCUGGCGGCAUGCCUAACACAUGCAAGUCGAACGAGUGGCGGACGGGUGAGUAAUGUCGGGGAAACUGCCUGAUGGAGGGGGCUAACUACUGGAAACGGUAGCUAAUACCGCAUACCAUCGGAUGUGCCCAGAGUGGAUUAUCUAGUAGGGGGGGUAAAGGCUCACCUAGGAGACGAUUCCUAGCUGGUCUGAGAGGAUGACCAGCCACACUGGAACUGAGACACGGUCCAGACUCCUACGGGAGGCAGCAGUGGGGAAUAUUGGACAAUGGGCGCAAGUCUGAUGCAGCAAUGCCGCGUGUAUGAAGAAGGCCUUCGGGUUGUAAAGUACUUUUAGCGGGGAGGCGUUACCCGAAGAAGAAGCACCGGCUAACUCCGUGCCAGCAGCCGCGGUAAUAC
rnacentral:rRNA from 1 species